ensembl:miRNA Gm22184 predicted gene, 22184
UGUGAAUGUGUGUGCAUGAAUACACGCAUGUACAUACACACAUGUACACGCAUACACACACA